rnacentral:snoRNA from 1 species
AAUGGGCAUGUGAUGAAUCUCAUCUAACAAAUGGGUAAUUUGCGUCUGAAUUACAUUCAUUGAUGGUAUAUCACCUUGGAGAACUGAUGCCCUUU